GUUAUUUUGGCAGAAAAGUGCAAUUGAUUUAGAAUCUUUAUAUGUAAUUAGUUUACAAAUAAUAUUUGUAUUU
rnacentral:tRNA from 1 species